rnacentral:rRNA from 1 species
AGAGUUUGAUCAUGGCUCAGAUUGAACGCUGGCGGCAUGCUUUACACAUGCAAGUCGAACGGCAGCACGGGAGCUUGCUCCUGGUGGCGAGUGGCGAACGGGUGAGUAAUGCACCGGAACGUACCCAGUAAUGGGGGAUAACACAUCGAAAGAUGUGCUAAUACCGCAUACGCCCUGAGGGGGAAAGCGGGGGAUCGUAAGACCUCGCGUUAUUGGAGCGGCCGAUGCCGGAUUAGCUAGUUGGUGAGGUAAGAGCUCACCAAGGCGACGAUCCGUAGCUGGUCUGAGAGGACGACCAGCCACACUGGGACUGAGACACGGCCCAGACUCCUACGGGAGGCAGCAGUGGGGAAUUUUGGACAAUGGGCGCAAGCCUGAUCCAGCCAUGCCGCGUGAGUGAAGAAGGCCUUCGGGUUGUAAAGCUCUUUCGCAAGGAAAGAAAACUUAUCUACUAAUACUAGGUGAGGUUGACGGUACCUUGAUAAGAAGCACCGGCUAACUACGUGCCAGCAGCCGCGGUAAUACGUAGGGUGCGAGCGUUAAUCGGAAUUACUGGGCGUAAAGCGUGCGCAGGCGGUUUUGUAAGUCAGAUGUGAAAUCCCCGGGCUCAACCUGGGAACUGCGUUUGAAACUACAAGGCUAGAGUGUAGAAGAGGGGGGGUAGAAUUCCACGUGUAGCAGUGAAAUGCGUAGAGAUGUG